AGGUUUUUUUUUAAGUAAUUAAAAAAACCACAAUCGCAAAAAUGUACGGCGUAUCACCGUCAGCGCUUGAUGUAAAUAAUCAGCGAUAUCGACUUCGUGAUAUUGACAACGAGCAAAUCAUGUCAACUUUUGGAAAUAUUGGACAUUCAUUAAGCAUAUCCGUGGAGAGAUUUAUAACAAUCGGUGAAAUAAUUGCUGAGGAAAAUACGGAUAUUAAAGCGGAUAUGUAUGAGGCGGCAAGAGAAGCGAGGGAUGCCGGCAAAUCCAUUGAGCAAUUAUGCGAUCUUUCACCUGUGAGUGGAAUGGAGCUCCGACAUCAUAUUGAACCCUUAAAGGAUUAUGGUGCUAUUGUAUUGGCCGCUAGAUCACUUCUCUCGUCGAUAACGCGCAUUCUUCUGCUGGUGGAUAUUAUUGUGGUUAAAAAACUACUCACGGCAAAGAAGCGGGCCUCGGAGAGUUUGGAAAAACUGGAAUCUGUGAUGAAUUUCACUGAAUUUGUUCGGGCGUUUUCGAUAUUUGGAACCGAAAUGAUUGAGCUGGCUUAUUUAACGGGCCAUCAUCGGAAUUCGUUUAAGGAAGAACGACGACGAGCUCAGAUGUUUUCGGCCCGUCAGAUACUUGAGAAGUCCAUAUCGAUAUUGUUGACCUCAUCGAAGAAUAGUUUAAUCCACAGCGAUUGUGUCAUAGUUAAGGAGAAUCGCGAUACCGUUUUUUGUCAAAUCCGACGUGCAAUGGAUUUAAUACAUUUCGUUAUCAAAGAUAGUAUUUUCGAUUCGGCAAAACAUAUGGCAUUUCGCAAUAAUGCUCGCUGCAACUCCAACUACGAGAAUGAAAGUAUCUAUACGACAAUCAAGCGUAUUAUAAAUCUAAUUAAGAGAUUCAAACUGCAGACAAUUCAAUAUGAUUGCAAUAGCAACAAAGAGGGUAAUUUAAAUGGGGACACGUUCUACUCGCUAUUCGAUGAUGACGAUUGGAAGAGUGAAAAGAAUUUAGCACCGAUUGCCGGUAGUCAUAUGAUCAAGAAUACGAAUUAUAAAAAACAUAUGAACUAUGAAAGUUUUGACCUGAGGGAGGAAUUAUCCCUGGCGUUUGACAAACUGUUUGAGAAGGCGCACGAUUUUACAGAUUCGCCGUAUAUAAGUCACGAUCAUCGGAAAAAUAUAUUAACCUACUGCCACAAUUGUAAACUCGAAUUUGAUCUGUAUCUCAAUCAUUUAAUCAAGGAACAACACGAUAAUAAUAGUCGCGGUGUGGGAGCAACGGUGCAGGGAGGCAGUGUAGAACCCGAAAUGGGUAUGCUUGCUAGUCUGGAGGAACUGUGCAAACAGCUGGUUAUAUCUGUGUCCAGUCAGAUAGCCGAUUUCAAUGAAUCGCUCACCAUAUGCACAAAGAUUGUGAAAUCGUUUUACAUUUUGGCCAUGACCCACGAUCUGGAGAAUUUGAAUCAGUGUUCGACCAAAUUUCACGACUGCUGUGAUCAUAUUUUUGAUAUCUGCAAACUAUUACAACAUAUAGCGCCAACUGAAAGACUUCAGGUCCAUGCCAAAUGUCUGGCCAUCAACUUAAGAAUAUACGGGCCACAAGUAUUCAUCGCUGCAAAGAUACUGUGGAAAUAUACCAACAGCAGUGCGGCAAAUGAGAAUUUUGAAUCAUUCUUGGAUAUGUGGAAGUGGCUAAUCAAUGAGAUCUCAACCAUUGCCAAAAAGAUACUUGCCUCAGUGGACACAACUAAACCGGCUAAGGAUACCCAAUUAGAGAAAUGUGAAACUGGAAUAAAAUCGACAAAACCAUAUGCGGCUGCGACAGAUGAAAGAGAAAUGGUCGAGUAUUCGGGCAUAGAUGGUAAAAAUAAUGGAGAGACGAAAUGGGCCGAGGAUCUAGCCGAUGACAAUGAUAUUUUGAAAAGAGCUAAAAAUAUGUCGGCGAUGGCAUUUUUGAUGUAUCAAUUUACGAAAGGAAGCGGCUCUUUAAGAACGACACAAGAUUUGUUUACUCAGGCGGAAUAUUUUGCUGAAGAAGCCAAUAGACUAUAUAAGGUUCUACGACAUUUUUCAUAUCAGGUGCCAGCCAGUGAUAACAAAAAGGACCUGCUAGGUAUUUUAGAUCGAGUGCCGACUUUUGUCCAAGCUCUACAAUUUACAGUUAAAGAUCAUACAGUGGGAAAAGCAGCCACAUUUGUUAAGGUUGAUCAUGUCAUAAGGGAAACCAAGAAUCUUAUGAAUGUUAUCAAUAAAGUUGUAUCAAAAUGUUUUGAAUGCGCAAACAAGCAGCAAGUGCGAGUUGCCGAUGCUUCUGUCGCACUCCAGAGGCCGGGAGCCGGGCUUCAUGAAAUGCUUCGGAGAGACGACUGGAAUCUUUCUUUGACUGCAUAAGUUUUAUCGUCAUAUUGCUGUGAUCUUUAUAACUAGCUCGAAUCUACCCAAAACCAUUUUAAAGAUAAACGAACAAUGAUAUUCCUCAGUAGUACAAACUAAAUUUAACUGGAAUAACUGGAGGACUCACAUCCGGAUCGGUGCGUGGAGAUG
rnacentral:misc_RNA from 1 species